rnacentral:rRNA from 1 species
UUCGCAAUGCCCGAAAGGGUGACGAAGCGACGCCGCGUGUGGGAAGAAGGCCUUCGGGUUGUAAACCACUGUCGGGAGUUAAGAAAUGUAAGGGUGUUAAUAGCGCCUUUACUUGACAAAGGCUCCGGAGGAAGCCACGGCUAACUCUGUGCCAGCAGCCGCGGUAAUACAGAGGCGGCAAGCGUUGUUCGGAAUUAUUGGGCGUAAAGAGCACGUAGGCGGCCAUGUAAGUCGGUUGUGAAAGCCUUCCGCUCAACGGAAGAACAGCAUCCGAUACUACAUGGCUUGAGUGCGGGAGGGGAGAGUGGAACUUCUGGUGGAGCGGUGAAAUGCGUAGAUAUCAGAAGGAACGCCGGCGGCGAAAGCGGCUCUCUGGCCCAUAACUGACGCUGAGUGUGCGAAAGCUAGGGGAGCAAACGGGAUUAGAUACCCCGGUAGUCCCAGCCGUAAACGAUGGGCACUAAGUAGAGGGGUUUU